rnacentral:sRNA from 1 species
UGUGAUGAUCUCAUAUUGACAUGCUAAUUGAAACUUUAAUUAUAUAUUUAUUAAUAAUUAUUAUUUAGACCACAUAAUUCAUAUAAAUUAGAACAAAAGAAAAAUAAAUGUAACCUACAUGAUAAAAUUGAUAAAUGUAACCUACAUGAUAAAUGUAGUUCAAAAUCAGCAAAACAUAUAACACUUAUUUCAAGCUACCUAUAUUCCAUAAUAAAAUUGAAAAUUAUAUUCAAAAUAAAAUUAAUUUGCUCUCUUUAAUUGAAAGUAAUUCCAAAUAUUUUUUCUGAAAGCUUUACAAAUUAUCCAUUGUAAACAACAAAUUUAUGUAAUAUGAUAUACACAAUAAUGAUUUUUUUUUAAAGAGCUAAACAUAUUUUAAUAUAUAUAAAUUAAAAAAAUAUUGUAUAUAUUAUAUUAAUUUUAAACCCACGCGUUGCGUGGGAUAUUUUCUAGUAUAUAUAUAUAUAUAUUCCGUGACGCAAAGAAUCUCCAAUGAUAAUGUUAGAUGAGCAAACAAAAAAGUGCUAAUUUUAUCGAUCUAUAAACACAUUCGCAGCAAAUCAAAGACAUACUUGUCCAUUAAUGAUUGUCCAAGCAGUCCAGUCCAUAUGGUCAUCUAAUGACUCACAUGGUAGUUUCAUACUAAUACAUAAAUAUAUACAUGAACAAUAAACGCCAAUCCAAAGUACAUUAUCCAUGUUUCUUUGACCAUUUACCCACGUGUGUAUAGACAUGUUGAUACAAUUUUAUCGAGCUAUAAACACAUUCGCAGCAAAUCAAAGACAUACUUAUCCAUUAAUGAUUGUCCAAGAAGUCCAGUCCAUAUGAUCAUCUAACGACUCACAUGAUAGUUUCAUACUAAUACAUAAGUUUAUACAUGAACAAUAAACGCCAAUCCAAAGUAGAUUAUCCAUGUUUCUUUGACCAUUUAUCCACAUGUGUAUAGACAGUCAGUUACGUAGAUCUCAGUCAGUUAAGGAACUUGUCCAAAUCUGCCAACAUCUAUACAUAUU